UGUGUCCCCCCUAUAGAGCUGAGCCCACAGCAGAAGGAGUUCCAGGCCACAGCACGGCGCUUUGCACUGGAGGAAAUCAUCCCCGUGGCAGCACAGUAUGACCGAACUGGAGAGUACCCCAUGCCCCUGAUCAAACGUGCCUGGGAGCUGGGGCUGAUCAAUACUCACAUCCCUGAGAGCUGCGGCGGGCUGGGCCUGGGCUGCUUCGAGGCCUGCCUCAUCACCGAGGAGCUGGCGUACGGCUGCACCGGCGUCCAG